CAUCAUUACAAUAAUAUUGAUACCUGCUGUAAUCACUGGCAUUCUGGCUUUUCAAUUUCCAGUAUUUGCCUUGGAUCAAGUAGCUCAGUGCUAAUUCAACAGAAGGUCACCCGAUGAAGGGGCUGAUAGCAAAGAGGACAGCUCUACUUAGCAUGCACAGAGGAUUAUGCUUUCCUGGCUUGUAGAGCUAAUCUUUCAAGUUGUCCUUUUUUGACUUUCUCAGUUUAAUCAGUUUAAUCUCAUCUUCUCUCUUUUCUGAUUGCAAGGAUUUUCUGCAGAAACCUUGCCUCCACAAUAAAGACCAUGUGGCAAUUUAUUCUCAUAUUGAUUUCAACAUUUCUGUUCCUCUACCAAUGAGCCAGGAAUCAGGGGAGGGAGAGGAAGGGUUAUGAGGAGGUUGGAGGAAGAAGAGCCAGGAGAAGGAUGGGAGAGGAAUAGAAGCUGAAAGCCCUGGAUCCUUUCAUUAGUCAGAAAGCCACAUACUCCAGUUAUGUGGGAAAACUAAGUACAUCUUAAAUGCACUGGAAGCAGAAAUGACAGCCAAAUGGGAACGUCUCUAUAAUGAUUAAAGUUAAAGACAGCUAUACCAAGGGAUUCUUUCCAUUUCCACACUAAAGAAAUAGAAAGACACACCAGACAGACAGACAAUACACACACACACACACACACACACACACCUUCUGCAAUCAGAGACAUUACACGUGUCUGAGAAUCACACAGUGACAAUCUCCCUCACAGACUGAGUGGAUUUUGCUUUUAUUCUUCCUCUGUCCACACUAAAGGGUGGACAGUAUCUUCCUAAAAGCAGACAAAAAGCCAUCUGCCAAGACACAGGAAAGACAAAAAUGGGAUUGGAUGGUGGGUUCCUGGAGAUAAUGAUAUACUAUAGCCAGCUGAAAAGAACAUCUGUUUUAAGAACUGUGAACUUACAGGAGCCAUUUGUCUGUCUGAUCCAUUCCCAUGACUUCCCUUCCCAUUUUGCACCUUUGUAUUUCUGCACUGAUCAAAUCUAUGCAAAAUAAAGGGACCGAGAAAAACACUAAACAGCCAUAAUUUCUUCUCCUUUCAAAAGGUUACCCGC
rnacentral:lncRNA from 1 species